rnacentral:misc_RNA from 1 species
ACAUUAGCUGAUAAUAGGUGCCGUGUUUUUUUUUUGUGUUUCAACUCUCAGAAUACGCAAAAGACGAGGUAUUUUUUUUCUACUCUCCAGUCCCACUUCUUCAAGUGUUGCAGCCGGCGUAUCGCAAGGAACUCUUUAGCAUAGUGUGGUGAGUGUUUGGUCUGGGCGCUUGAGUCUUUUGAUCCGUACCUCGUUUUUCUUUGUUUCUGUAGAUACUCUUCGAUUUGAAGGAGCUGUUCGCAACCGCAGCCAUGGAGGUGGUUGAGGAGUUCUUGCGUCUUCGUCGUGAGGGCAAGGGCGAAGAGGCAUACAAGCUUUUAGCGCCAGGUGCAUCUAUGGGUUGCCCGUGGGGCGGAAUGCACCAUGGCCCGCGCGUUCACACUCUGCUCAUAGAUGAGGCGCGAUUCGCCAAAAAGGGAUAUCUCGACCCGGUGCCCAUCGAGAAGAUUGAUGAAGGAACUUACCAACGAAAGUUUCAGUGGGAUAGAGGAAUGGCAGAGUUCGGGAAUAGCGGCUUUCGCUUUCUUGGGGUGCUGCCGAUGUGGAGAGAGCUUUACUUUGUGCGGGAUGGCAAAAUUGGCCUGGUGACUUCCGAUAAGAUGCUGAAGAGGAGGUCACUGAUCCAUGCACUUUUCGGUGCUGGUGGUGUAUAAGCAGAGUGAUGGGGAUGCCAUCUUCGACUUCGAUUACGUGUCUUUUGUGCACCACAGCGUCAUUGUUGUUGGCGUGUCGCCGGCAGGCGUGCUGUGUUGCUUUUGUUUUGUUUUCGCUUCUGUGUUACAGUCGCCGCUCAGGCAACGCAGCCAUUGUACAUCUACUGCUCUAGAAAGGCUCUUUGCUUUGGAGGAACAAUGAAUAGCGGAGUAGGGAAUGCGGGCGUUGUCAAUAUGUGAUGCCUUAUCGUGAAAGGUUGCCCUGAGGUGCGCCUUUUGCGGCUCUACGUUGGUAGGUGUGAGCUGUUCUGGCUAAAAUCUCGCGGUGCGCAAUGUAUGUCAAUGCCGGAGUUGGAAAUUGAUUCUGCAACUAGGAAGUGGUUUUGGCGUGCUCUGGCAAGUGAAGAGCAAAGGCACAACAGCUUUUCAUUCCUGAUCGAAUCUACAUUCCUUUUUGUUUGCCCGCUCUCUCUAUGUGCUUCUUGAUCUUUGUGGUUUGGCUCUGUAG